AAAUUUAAAAUUUGAAAACGUAACAUAAAACAAAACUUGGUAAUGAUAUUUCCAAUUUUUAGGGGAAAACACCUUAUUCGGUUAAUUCAUUUAAAUUGCAAAAAAACCACUUAUAAGAUUACUUAAUUUUGCAGCAAAAAUCAUAAAUUAAAUAGAGUUUUGAAAACCGUAGUUUGAUUUUGAAAUCCAUUGCAUUGCAGUUUGAAAUAAAAUAUUCAAAAAAAAAGAUAAAACAGUUCAGAGUGAAGAAUAAAAUCCAAAACAAAUAACAGUCCCUAAAAAUUCCAAAAACAGUCCAAUUGAAAAUGGUACUUAAACUCAAUAGAAUUCAAAAACAAUAAUUUAAACCGAGCUCCUGCUACGCCGAUCUGCCCUAAGUUUGUUGGUUACCUGAGAGGAAAACAUACAAAAAAUGAGCUUAUGAGCUCAGUGUGUAACACAUCCCAAGCAACAAUCAGAUGUACAAAAAUUAAUAGAUACAUUUCAGAUGCAUGAUCAGAUACAAAAUCAUAUGUGUUUUCGUAUUCAGAUACAAAAACAUAUUCAGAUAUGUAGUCAGAUGCAUAUUCAAAUCCUACCCCUAUCCUUACACACCAAAUAGGGUAUUAAAUAACCCCACACACCAAUAAGUGAGCGUAUGUCACUUUUUAAAAAAAUGCAAUCAAGCUGCCAGAAUAGAUACGUGGUCAAGCCACUAGAACAAAUAUAUGUGGUUUAAACCACGAGAUAAGGCAGAUUAUUAAAUUACCAACACUUCUUCCAUCAAUUCAUAUUCCCACCCCAAUGCUCAUGCAAAUACUAACAUAUAUCACAUGCACAUAUGUCAUGCAUGCUUUUCACAUAAGACAUGCUAUCAGAAUUAUCAUAAUAUAAAUUAUUCACAUAUAUUUCACAAAUCUUAACCACAAUUCAUACAAUAGAAUACUAUUAGAUAUCAUGUUUUCAGCCCUAUUUAUACAGUAUAGAUUCUACUGAGCGGCUAAAUACGCAUCAUAGAUCAAUAUAGCCUUAGGUGAAAUUUUUCCAAAAAAUGGGCUCACACGCCCGUGUGGCCAACACAGGCCAACUGGCCCAAAUAGUCCACUCGUGUGGUCCACACGGUCUAACACACAGUUGUGUGAUGCCGGUAGUGGGUUUUUCAACUUUCUACCUUUCGUUGUUUUUACGGGAUCGAGUCGCACACCUAGUUAGUUUCCAAUGUAGAUUCAAGAACGAGUACAAUUCACACUAAUUAGCAUGCUUUUUACCAACUCGAUGCAUCAAUUCGAAACAACCAUCAACAAUCGAACCGAAUUUUCAAAAACAAAACAGCCUCUACAAAUGGCGAAAUCACUUAACCUUGAAUGAAACCACAACAUAAAUAAAAACUUAGUUCGCCAGAGGAUCAACCGUCUCACGAUCUUCUCCUAAUUGCACCAAAACACGUAAAUUAAACACUAAAAUCACUUUCUUGGUAAAGAACCUAAUAACCAAAUAUUACACAUCAACCAAAAAGAAUUAUAGUCUUAUCGAAUACCACAAAUGCGUACAGCCAACACCCAAAAAUUGGAACAACCGAAAAGGAUUCAAACAAAGGAACUCACGCCAACUAGCACAGAGUUUGGAACAAUAGAGAAAGAAUUGAAAAAAAAAGUUAUGAGCAAAGAACAGUUUCGGUGAGUAGAAUGAGAAGGAACAAAAAUUGAAAAGGAAAAUUGUGGGGAAAGUAACAGUAUAGACAACAAAAAGGAAAAGAGACAAAGGGAGUGGGAAAAGUGGGAGAGAUUUUUUUGGGAUUUUCUUGGAAAUAAUUUAAAAACAAUAUCCACGUAAUCCCACUACUAACCACUUAUCAGAUUUUAGAGUUCAAAUUCACCCUAAUUCUACCAUAUGGACGGCACAAGCAGAAUAUUGCAAAAAUAUUUUUGUUUUACACAUACAAUGAUUUGAACACAAAACUAAAGGGUAAGCUAAUACUUUACCAUUAAAUUAGUAGACUCAUUUUAUCUUUAGUUGCACAAAAAUAAUAUUUAAGCCCAAAGUUAAGAGAUAGGGGUUUAGACAAAAAUUAACAAAAUUCAAGGGAAAAGGACUCGAAUCUAGAACCUCACACACACAAGUACAACACCUAUCCACUAAAUCGGAUUAAAUCACUUUAAUUAUUUUAAUAAUUCAAAAACUAAAAUUUUGGGGUGUUAAAUGGUUGAGAGGACAUUUUUUGUUCUAAAAAAGUGGUCCACUUUAAUAUAGUCUGAUAAGACAAUGUUAAAUUAUGCUAGCAUAUUGCAUACUUCCUAACUUCAUUCAUAUGUGAAAUGACCUAUACUUUGAAGAGUAUAUGAAAGAAAAAGAUCCUAUUAAUUCUAAUGAUACGUAGUCAAAUUCCAAUUCAGAUGAUGAACUAAUUAGUCAAAGAUCAACUGAUGAUGAUAAAGAGUAUAUGUUAAAUGUUACACGGGGAAUAGGCUAAUAAAUAUGGAAUGCUAGAGCAAUUAGAUAAAAUUGCAUAUGAUGCUUAUUUUCUUAUUAUUUUUAUUGGUAAUCAUAUUUUUUUACUACUUCUUGGACUAACAUAUUACAUACAAUUAUUUGAUUUUGAUUUGUUACUUGUUUAGAAAUUUUUUUCUUUAAAAUAUUAUUGAUGUUUUUUAAAAAAUAAAUAAAUUAUAUAACUGUAUAAUUAUAAUUUGUACUACUUAACAUGAUAUAAAAAAUUACAAUAUAAUUACACCUAUUAAUCAAAUAUGUCUAAAGAAUAAUAAUUUUUUGUAAUUAAAAGAGGAUGUAAUUAAGAGAUAUAAAAAUAAAAAAAAUUAAAAGAUAUAAACGUAAAUGGAGGAAUAUGAUAGAAAAAAUGUAGGUUUCUUUCGCAUGGUGCGAGAAUUAUUUUAUGCAUUCCUGGGGUUUAGAAAAUUUUAAUUAAACAAUUAAUUGUAUUUUGAAACAAAAUUUUAAUAUAUUAGGCUUAAAGGUAUAAAAUUUUAAGUAAAAAAAUUGAGAUUUUCAAUUUAAUUUAUACUUAAUUAAAAAUUUUUAUUAAUAUAAAACUUUAAUUAAGCACCUUUAAUAAUGAUUUUUUUAUUACAUUUAUUGUUAAAAUUAGCUAACACCAAAAUAAUCGAGCAAAACUGAAAAACCCUAGAAACCAAGAGUAUUAUCCUUGGUAUCCUAGCGAUAACAGUGGCUGCUGCGGCUUGGGAUAAUGGAGAGUGGUGGUAUCGAUGGGUUUGGGGGAGAUAAGAUCUCCCUAUUAACAGAAGAGCUUAUUCAACUUUCGGUCAAAAGUUUGAUGGUGGAGCCAAGUGGCAAUUUUUCUCUGAUAUGUUCUAUAUGGACAAAGAAAUCUUACAACCAAGACAGUUUCAAAGCACAGAUGAGGAGUAUUUGGAAGACAAGGAAGAAAUUCGUGAUUCAAGUGGUUGGACAAAACCUUUUUUUGAUAGAGUUUGAAUUAGAAGAGGACUUAGAGACUGUUAUGGAAGGCCAGCCAUAGUUGUUUAGGAAACAAUUAAUUUUGUUUGAUCGACUGAGUAAACCAAUGAUGAGAGAUCAAAUUCGACUUGUCUCAUCUCCAUUUUGGAUUAAAAUUGGGCCGUGUCUACCAGAGUUUGAUAAAAAAGAUCUUCUGCAUGCUAUAGGAGUCACUUUUGGAGGGGUGAUCAGAUCUGAAAUAUUAGGUGAGUUCUGUCGUCUUAGAGUGCAGUUAAAUGUACAGAGACCCCUUCGCAGGGGUAUUUUUGUUUCAAUAGGGAAUGGGAACAAAUUUUGGAUCCCUUUUAAGUAUGAAAAGCUGCCGACUUUCUGCUUUGGGUGUGGUAGGUUGGGGCAUGGUCUCCAUGAUUGCUCAGAAAUUACUCCUGCAGAUAAAAACUGAAUUAAAGAGGAUCCACCUUUCUCUUUAGCAUUAAAAGCAGAAUCAACGUUGGUUGGAAGGGAGAGUCUAAAGCUAAAUGCUCUAUCGAAAAAACUACAACCACAAUACUCGUAUGUUGGAGGUAUUACAAAGCAUCAGGAAGAUUAUUUGUCCAGGGAGCAAAGUAGUGAUAUGAUGAGAGGAGUCCAAGAUGGUGCUUGGUUGGCAUCAAUUGCUGCAGAUCUAGAAAUACGAAAGGAAGAAGGAAUCAAUGAAGGAGAUAUUGUAAAUAGAAACGCUAAUAAUCUGAAUUCAGCCAGGAAAGCUAGUUGGAAAAGAAUGAAAUUAAUGGGAAAGAUCGUAAAUUGCAAAAAAGGAAAUUGACAGAGUUAGUACAAGAUGAAUACGGGACAAAAGAGACUCAGGAAGAGAAUCCAAAAAGGGCUAGACAUGGUGGACAGGAUCUAAUCACGGAGGAUGAAACCAAUUUGCAAAUAGAAUAUUCAAACCAGACAGGAUCGGUGGCUGCCAAUGGGCAAGCCGACCGGGCACAAUGAAAAUCAUAUGCUGGAAUAUCUGUGGAUUGGGGAGUCCACGGGCAGUAAGAAAGCUUCGGUUUUUACUGAAGCAAAAUAAUCCUCAACUAGUCUUCCUAAUGGAGACUAAAGUAAGUGAAAAACGUAUAGAAGCAAUUAAAAGAAGGUGUGGCUUCACGAAUGGGCUUGAAGUAGGAGCUGUUGGUACGCGGGGUGGGAUUUGCUUAGCAUGGCGAGAGGAGGCUCAGAUUAAUCUUAAAUCCAUGUCAACAAGUCAUAUUGAUGUGCUGGUCAAAGAAGAAGGUGUUCAUGAAGAUUGGAGAUUCACAGGGUUUUAUGGCUCACCCUACUCACAAAAUAAAAAUACUUCAUAGGGUUUACUAAAGAUCUUGGGACAGGAGCGAGAGUAUCAUUGGUUAGUGAGUGGAGAUUUUAAUGAAAUAUCUUAUUCAUUUGAAAAAAGGGGAGGUCAACCGAGGGAGGAAAGGAAGAUGGCAGCGUUUCGGGAAGUUCUGCAAGACUGUCACCUUUUAGAUAUGGGAUAUUCAGGAAUAUGGUAUACAUGGGAAAUAGGGAAUCUACCAGAGACGAACAUUAGAGAAAGAUUGGAUAGGGGUGUUGCGAAUGAAAAAUGGAUGGACUUAUUUCCAACGGGCAAUAUUCAUCAUUUAACGUCCACCCUUUCGGAUCAUUGUCCUCUCCUAAUAAGCACAACUAAUGCAAGCAGAUUCAAGACAGUUCCAAGUUUCAAGUUUGAAGCUUGGUGGACCACAGAGGAAUCAAUAGAAAAAGAAAUUCGAAAAUCCUUAAAGUUAUCAAAUGGAUCGGUUCUGGAGAAGCUUGAGAACUUACAGAUUAGCUUAUCAAAAUGGGCAAAAUUCAUAAAGAAGAAACGAAAGGGGCUGACGGAUAAAAUUACAAAAGAGCUUGAAGAUUUAAUGAAGAAGGAACUUGAUGAAGAUGUUAUGAGCCAGAUUAUUGAAAAAAGAAUCGAUUUGAGUAUGGAGACCGAUAAGGAGGAGAUGUAUUGGGAACAGAGAGCAAUAGCUAAUUGGCUGAAGUUAAGAAUAAGAACACGACAUUUUUUCAUAAUUAUGCAUCAAUACGGAGAAGAAUUAAUACAAUCAGUAGGCUUGAUAGUGAUGAUGGAAAAGGAAUCAAUGAGGAAUCAAAAAUUAAUGAGAUGGCUAAGCAGUAUUUUCAGAAGCUUUUUUCGACUACUGGCGUUAGAGAUUCUUCCCACCUUUUAACAGGUAUUCAAAACAGUAUCUCUUCGGAUAUCAACACAGCCCUCUUGGAAAAGUUUACGACAGAGGAGAUUUAUAUAACAGUAAAGGGAAUGGGUUCUACAAAAGUUCCAGGUUAUGAUGGAUUUUCGGCUUUAUUUUUUCAAAAAUACUGGGGUAUUGUGGGUGAAGAUAUUGGGAAUUUCUAUUUGGAAGUUUUGAACAACGGAAAAGAUGUGAAAGGGCUAAACCUAACUAAGAUCACUCUUAUUCCGAAGAAUUCCAAUCCUACGAACCUUGUCGACUUUAGACCAAUUAGUUUGUGCACAAAUUUAUAUAAAAUUAUAGCCAAAGCUAUUGCCAAUCGUCUCCAGGAAGUCAUUAGAAGAUGUAUUGAUAGUGCUCAAAGUGCAUUUGUCCCAGGGAGGCUUAUUUCGGAUAAUGUUUUGAUAGCCUAUGAAAUUCUACAUACACUUCGGCAAAAACGCAAGGGGAAAAAAGGAUUCAUGGCGAUUAAGCUGGACAUGAGUAAAGCCUACGAUAGAGUUGAAUAGGUUUUCUUGAAGGAAGUUAUGAUGAGGAUGGGAUUUGCGAAGGAAUGGGUGGUAUUAAUAAUGAGAUGUAUUUCUACAGUCUCUUAUGUUGUGACCACAAAUGGGAAGAGUGGUAGAGUUUUUAAACCAACCAGAGGACUCCGACAAGGUGACCCACUUAGCCCUUUUCUUUUCUCAUUUGCAGUGAAGGUUUAUCGUCCUUAAUCAGGAAUGCCACAAGAGAGGGGUUGAUUAAAGGGGUGAGAGCUAGCAGAAGAGGCCCGACAAUCUCACACUUGUUAUUUGCAGAUGAUUGCAUUUUGUUUGGUGAAGCCACCGAAAGUAGUGCAAGGAACCUAAAAGCUAUUUUGUAAGAGUAUGAGACUUGUUCUGGUCAAUGCGUUAAUUUUAAUAAGUCCAUGAUCUUUUUUUAGUUCGAAUUUAGAGGAGGGUGAUAAAGGAAGUAUAUCGGCUGAAAUGGGAAUAGGAUGCUCGACUAACAUGGAGAAAUAUCUAGGACUGCCAAACAUAGUAGGUCGGAAGAAAAAGGAAUCUUCUCAGAUUCUCAAAGACAGAGUAAAGCAAAGGAUCAAAAAUUGGAGCACUCGUUUCUUAUCUCAAGGGGGUAGAGAGGUUUUCAUUAAAUCAGUACUUCAAGCAAUUCCUACUUACGUAAUGACAUGUUUCCUACUACCAAAGUCGCUUUGUGGUGAGUUGGACAAUUUAUUUGCUAGAUUUUGGUGGCAGAAAGGAAAAGGAAAGAAAAGAAUUCACUAGUGUCAAUGGGAAUAUAUGUGUAGGCCUAAAGAGGAGGGUGGUAUGGGUUUUCGAAAUAUGGCACAUUUCAAUAUAGCACUACUGGCUAAGCAAGGGUGGAGGAUUAUGAAUAAUCAGAAUGCUCUCGUAACGCAAGUAUUCAAAGCUAAGUAUUUCCAAGAUGAUCAUUUCUUAAAUUCCCGUUUAGGAAAUUCAUGUUCUUAUGUUUGGAAAAGCAUUUGGGCAGCCAAAGACUUAUUGACAAAAGGGCACUGUUGGAGGGUGGGAAUGGGUACUAAUAUUUCUAUCAAUGAUGCUUGGAUUCCAGAUUCAGUUAACUUUAGAUUAUUAUUAGAAAUUAAUUCUAUGCGCGAUGCUAAAGUUGAUGAGUUGAUUGACAGUCAUUACAGAAGUUGGAAAAAAGAGUUGAUUACCAGUACCUUUUCGGAAGAUGAUGCCACCAAAAUCCUCAGAAUUCCUCUGGCACAAACACCGCAUGAAGACUUUCUUAUCUGGGGUGGCGAACGGUCGGGUGAAUUCACGGUCAGAAGCGCCUAUCAACUAUUACAAAAAUUGACUAAAAGUCUUAGAACUUAUGCUUUACAGACCAUCUAUAGGAAUUUUUACAAAAAACUUUGGAGCCUAAAUCUACUGACUAAAAUAAAGGUCACAAUAUGGAAGUUAUCUUGGAAUUAUCUACCUACAAAGGUGAAUUUAUAGCACCGGAAGUUAGCAGUCAAUCCAAGCUGUCCCCGAUGUGGAGAAGGAGCUGAAACAAUGAACCAUUUAUUUCGCGAAUACCGUGUUACAAGGGAGGUAUGGAGAGCAUUAUCGUUCCAGAACAUUUUGAUGAAUCAAUGUGAGGAUUUUUUACAGUGGAUCACCUGGGUAGUAGAGGAGCUCAGCCUUUAUCAAAGUUGAAUAUUCUGUUGUGCACUUUGGGCCAUAUGGGGAGAUAGAAAUAAAAAAAUACAUGAAGGCAAAGUUAGUAAUGGGACGGAAGUUGCAAACUUUAUAAACAAUUACAUUAAUGAGAUUAAUGGCCUUGAAAAAAGAGAUCGGAAUCGUACCGGAGAGAACCAGAGAUGGUCGUACCCACAGGAGAGUUUCAUCAACAUCAACUUUGAUGGUGCCUACGAUAAAAGCCAGAAUCGGUCGGCUUCGGGUAUUGUGGCCAGAGAUUCGGAACGAAAUAUCCUCUUCUCAUGUUCAGAGAUUCAUUCUAAUAUCUCAUCGGCCUUUGCUGCUGAAGCAAUAGCCUGCUGGAGAGCAGUCCAAAUAGGAACCGGGAAGGGAUGGCAGUUUCUGAUUCUUGAAGGAGAUUCCCUCGCAAUCAUCAAAAAUGCAAUUCAAAGGGUCAAGACAGAUCGAUGGUAGGGGCAUACAUUUAUAACAUUCAACAGAAAAUAUAUGGAUUUGAUAAUAUCAGAUUUCAACAUACACCUAGGUCUGCAAAUAAUCUUGCACAUAUCUUAGCAACAGAAACGUUAAAAAGAGGAGAAGAAAUUUACCUGGAUAGGGGAGUUCUUGAGUAUGCUAUGGAUCAAACUCGGUACGAUGGGAGAAGAGGACCAGAUUAGAAGUUUUCAGGAGAGGAAGAGUGGAGAAAGGAAGCCUCAGAACAGUAAAGGAAACGGAUCGAUUUUCUUGGCAUAUUUUGAAAAUGGAAUCGUCAAAAAUGAAUUGAAAUGACAGAAAGACUGGAAGACGGUUUCCAAACAACUUCUGAUUGGGCAACGGAUCGGUGCAUUAAUGCCGGUUCUAGAAUUUUCGUUUAUAAUAUCUAGAUAUUUUUGUAUAAGGCCAUCUGAUUUGGGCCAUGUUUUGGUUUAGGUUUAUUUUGUUAUGUUUUGGUUUUAUUUGGUUUUGGUUUCAGAUUAGAACAGUAUGUAUUUAUUUUCAUAAUAAAGCCCAAUCCGGAAAUUUCAAAAAAAAAAAAUUAGCUAACACCAAUUAGAAAGUUUGAAAAUAAGGAGUGUGAUGUUGCGGCUGAGUAAUAUAGAGGAUGAUGAAGUAGUUUGCAUGUUGGGUGAAGGUGCUUUGGAUGGUGAUGGCACUUUGAAC
rnacentral:lncRNA from 1 species